rnacentral:tRNA from 1 species
GGCGCUAUACCCAAGUGGUCUAAGGGAAUGGUUUGCAAAACCAUGACUCACCGGUUCGAAUCCGGUUAGCGCCUCCA